CCUGCUGUGGUAGCUCAGUAUAGAUGUCGCCUAAAGUGACAUAGGUAGAGCACAAAAAAACAGAGUCUUGGAAAAGGCUCUUGCAGCAAUAUACAUAUUAGAUGGUGUCAUGGGUUCGACUCCCAUCCCGGCAGGA
rnacentral:tRNA from 1 species